rnacentral:rRNA from 1 species
CACGUAGGGUGCGAGCGUUGUCCGGAAUUAUUGGGCGUAAAGAGCUCGUAGGCGGUGUGUCGCGUCGGCCGUGAAAACCUGCAGCUUAACUGUGGGCUUGCGGUCGAUACGGGCAUCACUGGAGUUCGGCAGGGGAGACUGGAAUUCCUGGUGUAGCGGUGAAAUGCGCAGAUAUCAGGAGGAACACCGGGUGGCGAAGGCGGGGUCUCUGGGCCGAUACUGACGCUGGAGGAGC